UCCCCCAUCCCCUCCAGGUGACUGCAGCGCUGGCUCAAGUUUGAGAACCACUGCUCUGCAGUCCAGAACAUCUUCCUGGGAAUUAGCUGGGAUGCAAAACCAUGUUGCCAUCUGAUCUCAUCACACUUCUGCCAAGAGGUGAAAUCUAAGAGUCCACGUUCUUGAUGCCUGACAUCUUCUUCAGGUCACUUACCUGAGAACACCUGAGGACACUGAGGAUAAAGACUGAGAAACACCCAAGUGCACUGGACAGUCAUCGCUUCUGUCCCUGUGCAGUGCAAGCCUGGGGCAGGGAGACCACGAUGUGGGCUGCAGAGCGUGGAAGAAACCCUUGAGGGCAAUUGGACGUGAACUAAGCCCUGACAGACCCCGGAUAUUUUUUCCCUGACUCAACUAUGCUUCCCUCAGCAACUCAGAGAAGUGUUGGCCAACCGAACACAAAGAAGCAAAGAAAGUAGAAAAGCGAUGUAAUCUGAAGCCACAUUGAGUCUGAGUCCAAGAAAUUGUGAUGGAAAAACACUAAGGCUCCUCACCUUGACUGUGACAAAGCUUGGGAGGGUGAAAUGGGAUGUGUGAACUUUCUGAAAACUGUCGACACUAUACAGUUCUUUGGCAAAAGGGCUGCUUGUAGUUAGCAACUUACUCCCGGAG
rnacentral:lncRNA from 1 species